CAGCCUGACCUAGUGGUCUCCUAGCAACAACCACACCGCACGGAGCGUCUCCUAGCAACAACCGCACCGCACGGAGCGUCUCCUAGCAACAACCGCACCGCACUGAGCGUCUCCUAGCAACAACCACACCGCACGGAGCGUCUCCUAGCAACAACCGCACCGCACUGAGCGUCUCCUAGCAACAACCACACCGCACGGAGCGUCUCCUAGCAACAACCACACCGCACGGAGCGUCUCCUAGCAACAACCACACCGCACUUACCUUCUCCUAGAGACAGUCUGAAACCGCACUUACCUUCUCCUAGAGACAGUCUGAAACCGCACUUACCUUCUCCUAGAGACAGUCAGAAACCGCACUUACCUUCUCCUAGAGACAGUCUGAAACCGCACUUACCUUCUCCUAGAGACAGUCUGAAACCGCACUUACCUUCUCCUAGAGACAGUCUGAAACCGCACUUACCUUCUCCUAGAGACAGUCUGAAACCGCACUUACCUUCUCCUAGAG